UGAUGGCGAGUGGCGAACGGGUGAGUAACAUAUCGGAACGUAUCCAAUAAUGGGGGAUAACUAAUCGAAAGGUUGGCUAAUACCGCAUACGCCCUACGGGGGAAAGCAGGGGAUCUUCGGACCUUGCACUAUUGGAUGAGCCUAUGUCUGAUUAGCUAGUUGGUAGGGUAAUGGCCUACCAAGGCAACGAUCAAUAGCUGUUCUUAGAGGAAGACCAGCCACAUUGGGACUGAGACACGGCCCAAACUCC
rnacentral:rRNA from 1 species